rnacentral:rRNA from 1 species
AUGAUCGUUCUGCAUUUCUCCACAUAUAUAUCUCGAUCGGCGACUGAAGCGAUGGCGUCCUCCCGGCGAGAUCUGCUCGUGGCGCUCUGCGUGGCGGCGCUCCUGGCCGUCGGGUCGGAGUCCCACGGGCUGGAGGACUUCGGCAGCGAGGGGAAGACGGAGGCGACGCCCGAGAUGGCCUCCUUCUUCGGCGCCAAGCCCGAGGCCGCCGUGCUCCCGGAGGCGCUGGACAACUCCAUGGCCGCCAAGCCGGAGGCGGCAUCGGCGAUGCCCACCACCACCAGCACCAACCCGCGUGCGUCCCCGCCGCGCAGAUCCGUGGCCGUCGCGGCCGGCGUGGCCUGCGGCGUCGCGGCCCUGGCGGUGGUCGGCGUGGCCGUCGCCGUCGCCUUCGUGGUGCGCGCCAGGCGCGGCGAGAGGCGCGAGGCCGAGGUCCAUCUCGGCUAA